UCACGAUCCCUUCGGGGUGACGAGUUAUUGACUGAGUGGCGGACGGGUGAGUAACGCGUGGGUAACCUACCUUGUACAGGGGGACAACAGUUGGAAACGACUGCUAAUACCGCAUAAGCGCACAGCAUCGCAUGAUGCAGUGUGAAAAGUUUUUUCGGUACAAGAUGGACCCGCGUCUGAUUAGCUAGUUGGUGAGGUAACGGCCCACCAAGGCGACGAUCAGUAGCCGACCUGAGAGGGUGACCGGCCACAUUGGGACUGAGACACGGCCCAAACUCCUACGGGAGGCAGCAGUGGGGAAUAUUGCACAAUGGGCGCAAGCCUGAUGCAGCGACGCCGCGUGAGCGAAGAAGUAUUUCGGUAUGUAAAGCUCUAUCAGCAGGGAAGAUAAUGACGGUACCUGACUAAGAAGCACCGGCUAAAUACGUGCCAGCAGCCGCGGUAAUACGUAUGGUGCAAGCGUUAUCCGGAUUUACUGGGUGUAAAGGGAGCGUAGGCGGUUUUACAAGUCUGAUGUGAAAGCCCGGGGCUCAACUCCGGUAUUGCAUUGGAAACUGUAGAACUAGAGUGUCGGAGGGGUAAGUGGAAUUCCUAGUGUAGCGGUGAAAUGCGUAGAUAUUAGGAGGAACACCAGUGGCGAAGGCGGCUUACUGGACGAUUACUG
rnacentral:rRNA from 1 species